rnacentral:tRNA from 1 species
GCCUGGUUAGCUCAGCUGAUCAGAAUAUGGUGCUAAUAAUGUCAAGGUCAUGGGUUCAAUCCCCAUACUGGCCA